GGUCUUGUAGUCGAAAUUUAAGACGUCAGGCUGCAAUCCUGAAGGAGUAAUUAGUUUAACCUUGGCCU
rnacentral:tRNA from 1 species